rnacentral:lncRNA from 1 species
CAAAGACAAUCUCAUUAUAAUUUUUCACAUGCUGAAACUCGUUCCACCAUCAAAUGUUUUUACCUUAUACUUUGUGGAUGUCAUCUUGAAUCCCUAGACUAUCCACACAAAAAAUAAAUAGAGAGAAAUACAACUGUUAGAAAAUAAAAAACCACUCAUAUAGAAUCACCACAUAAACUCGUGACUCAUCGAACCUGAUAUGGAUAUGGUGAAAACAUGUCGAAAAACACCGAAAGACACCAAAAGUUUGGCCUUCACGAUUCGACUAUCACCAUGUUAGUUCAUCUUCUCUGGGCAU